rnacentral:rRNA from 1 species
UGAGGAAUAUUGCGCAAUGGGCGAAAGCCUGACGCAGCAACGCCGCGUGGGCGAUGAAGGCCUUCGGGUUGUAAAGCCCUUUUCUGGGGGAAGAGGAAGGACGGUACCCCAGGAAUAAGUCUCGGCUAACUACGUGCCAGCAGCCGCGGUAAAACGUAGGAGGCAAGCGUUAUCCGGAUUUACUGGGCGUAAAGCGCGCGCAGGUGGGUCCGUAAGUUGGACGUGAAAUCUUUCGGCUCAACUGGGAGAGGUCGUCCAAGACUGCGGGUCUUGAGGUCGGGAGAGGGAAGUGGAAUUCCCGGUGUAGUGGUGGAAUGCGUAGAUAUCGGGAGGAACACCAGUGGCGAAAGCGGCUUCCUGGCCCGCACCUGACGCUCAAGCGCGAAAGCGUGGGGAGCGAACGGGAUUAGAUACCCCGGUAGUCCACGCUGUAAACGAUGGGUACUAGGUGUUGGUGGUAUUGACCCCAUCAGUGCCGAAGCUAACGCGAUAAGUACCCCGCCUGGGGACUACGAGCGCAAGCUUA